AUUGAACGCUGGCGGAAUGCUUUACACAUGCAAGUCGAACGGUAGAGGGGGCAACCCCUCGAGAGUGGCGAACGGGUGAGUAAUAUAUCGGAACGUGCCCAGUCGUGGGGGAUAACGUAGCGAAAGUUACGCUAAUACCGCAUACGAUCUAAGGACGAAAGCGGGGGCUCGCAAGACCUCGCGCGAUUGGAGCGGCCGAUAUCAGAUUAGGUAGUUGGUGGGGUAAAGGCUCACCAAGCCAACGAUCUGUAGCUGGUCUGAGAGGACGACCAGCCACACUGGAACUGAGACACGGUCCAGACUCCUACGGGAGGCAGCAGUGGGGAAUUUUGGACAAUGGACGCAAGUCUGAUCCAGCCAUUCCGCGUGCAGGAUGAAGGCCCUCGGGUUGUAAACUGCUUUUGUACGGAACGAAAAGGUCUCUCUUAAUACGGGGGACUCAUGACGGUACCGUAAGAAUAAGCACCGGCUAACUACGUGCCAGCCGCCGCGGUAA
rnacentral:rRNA from 1 species